rnacentral:rRNA from 1 species
UACGUAGGGACCAAGCGUUGUUCGGAUUUACUGGGCGUAAAGGGCGCGUAGGCGGCAAUUCAAGUCAGCUGUGAAAUCUCUGGGCUUAACCCAGAACGGUCAGCUGAUACUGCUUUGCUAGAGUGCAGAAGGGGCAAUCGGAAUUCUUGGUGUAGCGGUGAAAUGCGUAGAUAUCAAGAGGAACACCUGAGGUGAAGACGGGUUGCUGGGCUGACACUGACGCUGAGGCGCGAAAGCCAGGGGAGCAAACGGG